rnacentral:rRNA from 1 species
UCACUAGUAGAUGGACCUGCGUUGUAUUAGCUAGUUGGUGAGGUAACGGCUCACCAAGGCAACGAUACAUAGCCGACCUGAGAGGGUGAUCGGCCACACUGGGACUGAGACACGGCCCAGACUCCUACGGGAGGCAGCAGUAGGGAAUCUUCGGCAAUGGGGGCAACCCUGACCGAGCAACGCCGCGUGAGUGAAGAAGGUUUUCGGAUCGUAAANCUCUGUUGU